rnacentral:rRNA from 1 species
GACGAACGCUGGCGGCGUGCUUAACACAUGCAAGUCGAACGGAAAGGCCCUGCUUUUGUGGGGUGCUCGAGUGGCGAACGGGUGAGUAACACGUGAGUAACCUGCCCUUGACUUUGGGAUAACUUCAGGAAACUGGGGCUAAUACCGGAUAGGAGCUCCUGCUGCAUGGUGGGGGUUGGAAAGUUUCGGCGGUUGGGGAUGGACUCGCGGCUUAUCAGCUUGUUGGUGGGGUAGUGGCUUACCAAGGCUUUGACGGGUAGCCUGCCUGAGAGGGUGACCGGCCACAUUGGGACUGAGAUACGGCCCAGACUCCUACGGGAGGCAGCAGUGGGGAAUAUUGCACAAUGGGCGGAAGCCUGAUGCAGCAACGCCGCGUGCGGGAUGACGGCCUUCGGGUUGUAAACCGCUUUCGCCUGUGACGAAGCGUGAGUGACGGUAAUGGGUAAAGAAGCACCGGCUAACUACGUG